rnacentral:tRNA from 1 species
CCGCCUAUAGCUCAGUCGGUAGAGCAGCUCCCUUUUAAGGAGACGGUCCCUGGUUCGAGUCCAGGUAGGCGGA